CGGAGAGAUAAUGAAAAAGAAUCACAUUACACUGUCUCGGAACCCUAUUACAUCAUUCUACUAAAAGAGUCUUUCAAGGGCAGUUCCCCCCUGCUCCUUGCAGUGUCUUGCACUGUGCAAUACAAACAGGGAGUGGUCGCAAAAUACACGUGGCCUGUGUCAACUAAUACGCUUUCACACGUGAAGCAAAUAAGCAAGUGCGAAUGCUUGAAGAGUUGAUCUAUUUUCUUCUUCAAGUGAUUUGGCAAAGUCAAAGUUCACAAAAACCGUGGAAGUACAAGAAAAAUUCAAGUCCACUUUGAAUCUGAAUUCAAGAAGUCACCCAGGCAGGGGAGGGAAUUUCUGUAUCCAUUCACUCAACAGAUGUACAUUAAGUGCUCACCUGUUCUAAAGGAUGGACAUACCCGAGUAAACAAAAACAGAGUCCUGGCUUUUAAGAUGAUUAUAUUCUAGUUGGAGGAGACAGACCAUAAACAGACAGACUAACACACAAUAUGUGUGGUGUUAAGUACUAGGAAGAGACAUACAGAAGGCAAGGAAGGGAUCAGGGGGUAGAAAAUGCUGUUGUUUUGGAAAUGAUGGUCAGGGAAGUUUCAUCUGGUGACAUUUAGUAUCUAUGUCUAAUAAGGUGAGAUUUAAGGAGAGACUUGAAGUGUGACAGCGCAAACCAUGUGGCUACUGUGAGAAGAACAUUCCAGCAGAGGGACUUAAAAAUGCAAAGGCCCUGAGUUUGCAAUGUACUUGGCACACGUGAGCACCAGAAGAAUACACAGACACCAGUGUGGCAGACUGAGUGAUGGCAAUAGCAGCUGAGGUCAGAAGGUACCCAGGAACAA